ensembl:lncRNA
UUUUUUUUUCAAACAAACAAUAAAACUGUUUUUGUGGUUUAAUGUUUCUGAAACAGUUUUGAAACAUUUAACACAGAAAAGAUUAUAGGAUGUGGAUGAGUGCAUCUAACUAAACAGACUCUUAAAAUAAUCCCACCAGUUCACACUGAAUGCAUCUGGUGAACAUGUCAUCACAGUGUUGUCUUCAGUGCAGUAGUACUGCUCCUGCAGAUACUUCCUGUCACAUUUCUGUCCUGUAGACUUAUCACUCAGACAGGCAUUAAAGUGAACGGUGGCUUUAAACCUGGAAGAGAGGAGCACCAGGGACAGAGCCAAGCAGACGACAGAGAACGGGACACUUUCACUCUCUGCUGGGAGGCUGAACGGGAUGACGAUGCGGUUUCGUCCUGGUGGACCAUAUUUUGUUGAGAGAGACUUAAAUUUUUUCCACACUCCUUCAUCUUCCUGCAGAGGGCUAACAAUGAUGUUUGGGAUCUUCCGUCCUCCAGCUUUCUUCAGUGAGUUCCAGUAGUUUGGCAGGUUCAGGGGUUGAUGUGUAUCAGGAGUAAUUUUACCGUCUUUUUCUUUUCUAUGGUAAAAAACUCUGUGCUGUGGCCUCAUUUUUCCUGUUGCAAUGCCAUAGGUCACUUCAGGUGUGGUGGCACAGUUCCAGGGAGAGUACAGGACCAGGUCAGUGAUGGUGGGCAGAGGCAGCAAACAGCUGGCUGGGAUCAUGGAGUCUCUGAUUGAUCCAUGUGCCACAAAGAUUAUGUCAACAGUGUCACUGUGGUUCUUCUUUUCUUCUUCAUCAAUUUUACUUUUCAGGAAAUCAAACAUGUCUGAGAGUUUUCUGAAGGUGCCAGACUCUGAAUUUUCUCUCAGCCACUGCAGGACAGUUUCAUCUUUGCAGUUUUCUAUUGCAAGGUUUAUUAAUCUUUUCCUUUCAGCAGAGCUCCUGGGACUUUCAGGGCGACAUGCAGCAUUCCGAUUUGCCCUUUUAUUAGAAAAGAACAAAGAACGAAGAUUAGCAAGUGCAGACAGCUUUGACUGGAUCAGUGUGAUACUAAAGAAAACUGAACCUUUAAGUGUCUGAGUGAGAUCAUAAAUGGUCCCAAGUAUUUAGUUCUUUUGUUAUAUUUUUAAUCAUAAAAAUGUUUCCUACCACGCUGUGACAGACAUGUCCAGCCUGUCACUAUAGACUUUGAUUUUAGUGUCCAUGUUAAAUGCUGAUUCUGCAUUUUCACAGUUACACC